rnacentral:rRNA from 1 species
UACGUAGGGGGCGAGCGUUGUCCGGAUUUAUUGGGCGUAAAGAGCUCGUAGGCGGCUUGGCAAGUCGGGUGUGAAACCUCCAGCUCAACCUGGAGACGCCACUCGAUACUGCUAUGGCUAGAGUCCGGUAGGGGACCACGGAAUUCCUGGUGUAGCGGUGAAAUGCGCAGAUAUCAGGAGGAACACCAUGGCGAAGGCAGCACUCUGGGACGUGACUGACGCUGAGACGCGAAAGCGUGGGGGAGCAAACAGGG